GUCAAAUUAUACUUAUAGAGCACAUGAGAGUUAUAAAAGAAGUAUGAAGGAAAAUUGUCAAUCUAGGAACACCAUAUGCUCAUGAAUUGUCAUAAUCCAUUAAUACAAUAAAGUUAAAAAGAAAAAAAAAGAUAGUACAGCUCUGAUACCAGCUAAGGGUUUCGCACGUGAGGAUGCAACUGCUAGUCCAGGAAUCAAUGUGUUGUCCUCAAUUUCGAUCCCCAGAAGAUCCAAGUCCAAACUUGAGCCAAAAACCAACCUAGUCUCCAGGUUAGAUACUUCCUUACGAACAGCUGAAACGGGCAACUGGACAAAAGCCCACUUUUCUCCAUACAGAUUCUCAGGAAGUUCCAUU
rnacentral:misc_RNA from 1 species